rfam:Dipodomys ordii contig_51215, whole genome shotgun sequence.
GGUGGCUCAGUGGUGGAGUUCUUGCCUGGUAUGCAUGAGGCCCUGGGUUCGAUUCCUCAGCACCA